AAGCUGGAAUUGCCAGUAAUGGCAGGUCAGCAUACUGCCGUGAAUACGUUCCCGGGCCUUGUACACACCGCCCGUCACACCAUGAGAGUUGGAAAUACCCGAAGCCUGUGAGCUAACUUAAAGAGGCAGCAGUCGAAGGUAGAGCCAAUGAUUGGGGUGAAGUCGUAACAAGGUAAC
rnacentral:rRNA from 1 species